AUUGAACGCUGGCGGCAGGCCUAACACAUGCAAGUCGAGCGGAGCGGCGGACGGGUGAGUACUGCCUAUGAAUCUGCCUGGUAGUGGGGGAUAACGUCCGGAAACGGGCGCUAAUACCGCAUACUAUCAGAUGAGUCUAGGUCGGAUUAGCUAUUUGGUGGGGUAAAGGCCUACCAAGGCGACGCUCCGUAACUGGUCCGAGCGGAUGAUCAGUCACACUGGGACUGAGACACGGUCCAGACUCCUAAGUGAGUCAGCAGUGGGGAAUAUUGGACAAUGGGCGAAAGCCUGGUCCAGCCAUGCCGCGUGUGUGAAGAAGGGCUUCGGAUUGUAAAGCACUUGAGGUUGGGAAGCGGUACCCACAGAAUAAGCACCGGCUAACUUCGUGCCAGCAGCCGCGGUAAUAC
rnacentral:rRNA from 1 species